GAUGAACGCUGGCGGCGUGCCUAAUACAUGCAAGUCGAGCGAAUGGAUUAAGAGCUUGCUCUUAUGAAGUUAGCGGCGGACGGGUGAGUAACACGUGGGUAACCUGCCCAUAAGACUGGGAUAACUCCGGGAAACCGAGGCUAAUACCGGAUAACAUUUUGAACCGCAUGGUUCGAAAUUGAAAGGCGGCUUCGGCUGUCACUUAUGGAUGGACCCGCGUCGCAUUAGCUAGUUGGUGAGGUAACGGCUCACCAAGGCAACGAUGCGUAGCCGACAUGAGAGGGGGAGCGGCCAAAGUGGGACUGAGACACGGCCCAGACGCCUACGGGAGGCAGCAGGAGGGAAUCUGCCGCAAUGGACGAGAGUCUGACGGAGCAACGCCGCGUGAGUGAUGAAGGCUUUCGGGUCGUAAAACUCUGUUGUUAGGGAAGAACAAGUGCUAGUUGAAUAAGCUGGCACCUUGACGGUACCUAACCAGAAAGCCACGGCUAACUACGUGCCAGCCGCCGCGGUAA
rnacentral:rRNA from 1 species